UUCCAUGAGCAGUUGUUUUGUUCGGGUGUAAAAAGUAAAAACCGUUUUCCAUAUGAUUUUAGUACCAGUGAUUAGCGCCGUCCUCCUUUUGACAUGAUAGUUUGUGUAUGAAUUAGAUGGAAAAAAUGGAUACUUUAAUACAUACGAGGAGUCAAGGACAUGACUUGGCAAUUUCUUUUUCCAUUUGUUUUGUUUUGGAACUUUAAAGCCACAUUUGGUUCUUGGAGUUGUAAAGGGGCGAAAAUAUACAAGAAAAAUGUGAGAGGAACUACAUAUUUUUUUCUUACUUUUUUGUUAGGAAAAUGAGAAGAAAUUUUGUUGAUAACUGAACUGGGCUAAGCCUUGUGUUCCAAUGAUGGUUUCAUGUUCAAUAAAUCGAUUUUUUUAUAGACAUUUUUAGAAAUACCAUUUUUAUUUAGCUCUACAUAAAGUUUUAGUAAAAAAAGGGCAAGGGCAAACCUAGUGCACGAGGAUCCCACCAUUACGAGUUUUGGGGAAGGUUUGAUGUACAUAGCCUUACCCCUUGCAAGGAGGAGGUUUCCGCGACUCAAACCUGUGACCUCCAGGUCACAAUGGAGCAACUUUACAUAAAGUUUUAGUAUGUAAAGUAAUUUCAUUUUCCGUUUCCCUUGAUGUCCAAUAUCAGAACAUAGGAGAAAUACGCCCAGCACGUACAGAAAUUCAUGAAUAAUCUGUUUUUUAAGUUGGUAUUCUCCCUCAUUGGGGAAAAAAAAACAAGAAGAAGUUGGAUUUCUCCGAAUAUCCUUAAGGCACAUGAUGAUUCCCCUGUUAAAGUAUCAAAUUCUCAAUCCAUUUCAAACCAGUUUAAACUCUACUGAUUUGAUGAAUAUGCUUGUAAUAGUCGGUGCUGCAAGACUGUGCGCAUAAGUUACUAAAAAUAAUGUUUUCUCUGAAACAGAAAGGUAAAGGAGUACGUGUUAAUCCCAAGAGCAGUUACAAAAUUAUUGUUAAGAACUGAGGAGAGUGAUUUUUAUUUAUUUUUCCUUAAGUUAUCCCUCUCUUUUGUGGCUUUGAUUAAGU